CCAGGUAAACUCUAUACGGUGAAACGUCAUGUAAAUCGGUGUUUAAGGGCUGCACGCUCAAGCCGAAGGGUAGGCGGUUAGAGCCUUGGGGUAACCCCUGGCCUAGAUAAAUGAUAAGGAAUUCUGAAUAUUUCAGUAUACAGAAUCCGGCUUAU
rnacentral:ribozyme from 1 species